AUGGCGCCGUCGCGGCCGCUGAUGCGCGGGGCGGGCCCGCCGCGGGUCUUCGGCUCCGGGCGCGCCGGCCGGGCAUCGCCGUACGCGCUCGCGCUCGCCGCGCUGCUCCUCGCCUCCGCCUUCCUCCUCGCCCUCAUCGCCUUCGGCGUCUUCUCGCUCCCCGUCUCCUCCCCCGCGCUCCCCACCACCGGCGCCGAGACCGAGUCGUCCGGCGACGGCGGGGCCGCGGAGUCCGAUGCCUCCGGCGGCUCCUCCCGCGCCGCGCGCAGCCGCGCCCGCCGCGACCUCAGCGAGGGGCUGGGCGAGCGCGGCGCGCAGUGGACGGAGGUCAUCUCGUGGGAGCCCAGGGCGUUCGUCUACCACAACUUCCUGUCUAAGGAAGAGUGUGAGUACUUAAUUGGAUUGGCGAAGCCUCGCAUGGUGAAAUCAACAGUGGUCGACAGUGAGACUGGUAAAAGCAAGGACAGCAGGGUUCGUACAAGUUCAGGCAUGUUUCUUCAAAGAGGGCGGGACAAGGUUAUCCGGGCCAUUGAAAGGAGGAUAGCAGAUUACACCUUCAUACCUGCAGAACAUGGAGAGGGACUCCAAGUACUGCACUAUGAAGUCGGGCAGAAGUACGAACCCCACUUUGAUUAUUUUCUUGACGAGUUCAACACCAAGAAUGGUGGCCAGAGGAUGGCAACUAUUCUCAUGUACCUGUCAGAUGUUGAAGAAGGGGGUGAGACUAUUUUCCCCGAUGCAAAUGUGAACAGCAGUUCCUUACCGUGGUACAACGAACUUUCAGAGUGUGCCAGAAAAGGUCUUGCUGUCAAACCGAAGAUGGGAGAUGCGCUGCUUUUCUGGAGCAUGAAACCAGAUGCCACUCUAGAUCCACUAAGUUUGCACGGGGGCUGUCCUGUUAUCAAAGGGAACAAAUGGUCAUCAACCAAGUGGCUGCAUGUUCACGAGUACAAAGCAUAG
rnacentral:rRNA from 1 species